AUCAAAAAGAUCGAAGAUAACAUAGGCGAAUUUCUCUAGUCUUCUGUCUCAUUGUUCCUGAAGGUGGCCUUGUUAGUAGAACCCAGAAUACAUUUAACCAUUUUAGGAGCAGUGGUGUGCUGGAGACCAAUGGUAUGUCGAAUAAGAAACUAUGCCCUUCAAGUGCAUGGAAAUGAUCUAAUACUUUCACUAUUUUUAUUGAGAAUCAUUGACCUUCUGCCACCUUCAGCUUCAGACAACUUCGCCAUAGCCACCUGGAUAAGAAGAAAACACCAAUGCUAGAUCUCAUAAGGCAGCCAUAAUCUAAUUUCCAUAGGCUUCUUUCUAUUGUGAAGUGUUACCUUGAGGAAGAACGUGUGGGGAAUGUUGGAGCAGAAAAAUAAAAAGAAUGCAAGUAUUGAUGAUUUGAUGGACCCACUCAAUUAACCAGUCCUGGAACUGCUCUAUCUCUGACAUUGUUGAAAUGAGACAUAUUAAGACAUCAUUUCAAUUUAAGCCAUUUUGGGGUUGAAUUUUCUUUUAUUUGCUACCAAAAACAUCAUAACUAAUGUCUCCUUACUGCUUCCUGAGAAAGGCAGAAAGUUCUCAGGGAUGACAAAUGGAGCUUCACUGAUUCGAUAAUAGUUAAUGGUUGCUGUUCCUUGGUGGUUUAUAUACUUGGCUGAAUAGAUUCUCUGCUCAAUAGCUGAGAAGAUGAAACGACUUUCCCUGAAGCCAAAAAAUGAUAUCAAAGGUAUUAUCACCUACUAUGACAUUUUUGUGGCCUUCAUUUUUCUCAGCAGCAAGCGGUGAAAAAUCUUUUCUGAAGGAGAUAAUCAUGGUCAAAAUGGAUUGCAAUUCCAACGUCUGGAUUGUCCAAUGAUUUGUACAAAAAGUUGCAGCAAAGUGAUUCCUCUUCUUGUUAGUUUAAGGAGGACUAAGUUUCAAAUUGCUCCAUAAUGAUGGGUUUAAUACAUAUCUGAUUCAAAACUCUUGCGUAAGGAAACAUUUCGGGUCAAAAGUUUAUAUUAAGCCCCACAAAGUCCAAUAUACCCUAAAAUGUAUUCUGCGUUAUAAGAUAUUUUAAGAUCACUGACUUCUAGUCUAUAUUCACCCACUUCAUAGAAAGGGGUAAUCUUUUUGAGCCUCAACACUUGCUUAUACUAUAUGAGGACUUUUCUAAUUCAUCUCAAAGUCUUUCAUGCCUUUCCAAUCGUGUUGUAUUAUUUGACAUUUUCUACUAUAGUACUUUAUAAUAAAGUGAGCAAGCUAAAUAGAUUUUUAGAGAUAAAUACAUCUGAUCAAAUAAUGCUGUGUAUAUUAUGUUAAGACCAUUUUUGAAAUUUCCGAGAAAUUUUCAUAUAUUUUCCUGCCAUCAUAAAGGUUCAUAGAUAUAAUUAUCUCAAAAUUUCAAUUUUUAUGGUAUUUCGUAGCAAG
rnacentral:lncRNA from 1 species